rfam:Ornithorhynchus anatinus chromosome 4, whole genome shotgun sequence.
AAUGAGGUGGCCGAGUGGUUAAGGCGACGGAUUGCUAAUCCACUGUGCUCUGCACGCGUGGGUUCGUAUCCCAUCCUCGUCG